AUUUCUUUGCAAUACAGUGCAAAUCAGUAGAAAUGUGAAUAUUUGGUUAGCAUGUUGAUUUGCAGUGUGUGCCCCUAAAUCUUCUGGUUGUGCCCCUAAAAUGUUCAGUUGGGGGCCACUGUGCUCCUAGUGAAAACAGUUAGUGUGGAGCCCUGUAACGGCUGUAAACCGCUCCGGUGAAAGA